AGAGAGCUUGCUCUCGGGUGACGAGCGGCGGACGGGUGAGUAAUGUCUGGGAAACUGCCUGAUGGAGGGGGAUAACUACUGGAAACGGUAGCUAAUACCGCAUAACGUCGCAAGACCAAAGUGGGGGACCUUCGGGCCUCAUGCCAUCAGAUGUGCCCAGAUGGGAUUAGCUGGUAGGUGGGGUAACGGCUCACCUAGGCGACGAUCCCUAGCUGGUCUGAGAGGAUGACCAGCCACACUGGAACUGAGACACGGUCCAGACUCCUACGGGAGGCAGCAGUGGGGAAUAUUGCACAAUGGGCGCAAGCCUGAUGCAGCCAUGCCGCGUGUGUGAAGAAGGCCUUCGGGUUGUAAAGCACUUUCAGCGGGGAGGAAGGCGAUAAGGUUAAUAACCUUGUCGAUUGACGUUACCCGCAGAAGAAGCACCGGCUAACUCCGUGCCAGCAGCCGCGGUAAUACGGAGGGUGCAAGCGUUAAUCGGAAUUACUGGGCGUAAAGCGCACGCAGGCGGUCUGUCAAGUCGGAUGUGAAAUCCCCGGGCUCAACCUGGGAACUGCAUUCGAAACUGGCAGGCUAGAGUCUUGUAGAGGGGGGUAGAAUUCCAGGUGUAGCGGUGAAAUGCGUAGAGAUCUGGAGGAAUACCGGUGGCGAAGGCGGCCCCCUGGACAAAGACUGACGCUCAGGUGCGAAAGCGUGGGGAGCAAACAGGAUUAGAUACCCUGGUAGUCCACGCUGUAAACGAUGUCGAUUUGGAGGUUGUGCCCUUGAGGCGUGGCUUCCGGAGCUAACGCGUUAAAUCGACCGCCUGGGGAGUACGGCCGCAAGGUUAAAACUCAAAUGAAUUGACGGGGGCCCGCACAAGCGGUGGAGCAUGUGGUUUAAUUCGAUGCAACGCGAAGAACCUUACCUGGUCUUGACAUCCACAGAACUUUCCAGAGAUGGAUUGGUGCCUUCGGGAACUGUGAGACAGGUGCUGCAUGGCUGUCGUCAGCUCGUGUUGUGAAAUGUUGGGUUAAGUCCCGCAACGAGCGCAACCCUUAUCCUUUGUUGCCAGCGGUUCGGCCGGGAACUCAAAGGAGACUGCCAGUGAUAAACUGGAGGAAGGUGGGGAUGACGUCAAGUCAUCAUGGCCCUUACGACCAGGGCUACACACGUGCUACAAUGGCAUAUACAAAGAGAAGCGACCUCGCGAGAGCAAGCGGACCUCAUAAAGUAUGUCGUAGUCCGGAUUGGAGUCUGCAACUCGACUCCAUGAAGUCGGAAUCGCUAGUAAUCGUAGAUCAGAAUGCUACGGUGAAUACGUUCCCGGGCCUUGUACACACCGCCCGUCACACCAUGGGAGUGGGUUGCAAAAGAAGUAGGUAGCUAACCUUCGGGAGGGCGC
rnacentral:rRNA from 1 species